rnacentral:rRNA from 1 species
CACAUAGGGGGCAAGCGUUGUCCGGAUUUAUUGGGCGUAAAGAGCUCGUAGGCGGUUCGGUAAGUCGGGUGUGAAACCUCCAGGCUCAACCUGGAGACGCCACCCGAUACUGCUGUGACUAGAGUCCGGUAGGGGAGCGUGGAAUUCCUGGUGUAGCGGUGAAAUGCGUAGAGAUCGGGAAGAACAUCGGUGGCGAAAGCGCUCUACUGGACCGCAACUGACACUCAGGGACGAAAGCUAGGGGAGCGAAUGGG